UACUGCAGUGUCCUAGUGGUUAGAGCAUCCAACACGGAUGCGGGAGGUCAUGGGUUCGAUCCCCGUCUGUGUCA